rnacentral:tRNA from 1 species
GGUCCCGUAGUACAAUGGAUAGUACGGAGGUCUCCGGAACCUCAGAUCUGCGUUCGAUUCGCAGCGGGACUA